UUUGACUAUUUGGUAAACAAAAGGAAGUAUACAGAACUUCAUUCUAAUAAGAUGGAUGCUACAUUCUUAUUCCGAUCUAGAUUCCUAUCCUCGAUUACAACAGGGCUCUGAUUUUAUUAGGAGAGAUUGCUUUCUUUGUUCUCUCUUCCAUUCAGAAUGGAGGAGUUGAAUCCACGGUCGAGAGGGAAUAUUGUCCGCAAAGACGAAAUCAUUCGAAAAUGGAAUGUAGCGCGCAUUGUCCUUAGCAUCAGUGAACAUCAAUCAU
rnacentral:lncRNA from 1 species